rnacentral:rRNA from 1 species
AACGUAGGAGACAAACGUUAUCCGGAGUUACUGGGCGUAAAGGGCGUGUAGGUGGUUUCGUAAGUCUGGCGUGAAAUUUUUCGGCUUAACCGGGAAAGGUCGUCGGAUACUGCGGAACUAGAGGACGGUAGAGGCGUGUGGAAUUCCGGGUGUAGUGGUGAAAUGCGUAGAGAUCCGGAGGAACACCAGUGGCGAAGGCGGCUCACUGGCCCGAUACUGACGCUGAGGUGCGAAAGCGUGGGGAGCAAACAGG